rnacentral:rRNA from 1 species
ACUCCUACGGGAGGCAGCAGUGGGGAAUAUUGCACAAUGGGCGCAAGCCUGAUGCAGCCAUGCCGCGUGUGUGAAGAAGGCCUUCGGGUUGUAAAGCACUUUCAGUCGUGAGGAAGGUAGUGUAGUUAAUAGCUGCAUUAUUUGACGUUAGCGACAGAAGAAGCACCGGCUAACUCCGUGCCAGCAGCCGCGGUAAUACGGAGGGUGCGAGCGUUAAUCGGAAUUACUGGGCGUAAAGCGCAUGCAGGUGGUUUGUUAAGUCAGAUGUGAAAGCCCGGGGCUCAACCUCGGAAUAGCAUUUGAAACUGGCAGACUAGAGUACUGUAGAGGGGGGUAGAAUUUCAGGUGUAGCGGUGAAAUGCGUAGAGAUCUGAAGGAAUACCAGUGGCGAAGGCGGCCCCCUGGACAAAGACUGACGCUCAGAUGCGAAAGCGUGGGGAGCAAACAGGUUUAGAUACCCUGGUAGCACAGAG